UACGUAGGUGGCAAGCGUUGUCCGGAAUUAUUGGGCGUAAAGCGCGCGCAGGCGGUCCUUUAAGUCUGAUGUGAAAGCCCACGGCUCAACCGUGGAGGGUCAUUGGAAACUGGGGGACUUGAGUACAGAAGAGAAGAGUGGAAUUCCACGUGUAGCGGUGAAAUGCGUAGAGAUGUGGAGGAACACCAGUGGUGAAGGCGACUCUUUGGUCUGUAACUGACGCUGAGGCGCGAAAGCGUGGGGAGCAAACAGG
rnacentral:rRNA from 1 species